CGACGUUCACCUCGCUUCCAGCGGGGCGCAGUUCGACUCAGGCCAUGGAACGGGGACCUGAG
ncrna:unclassified sequences Glutamine-II riboswitch (downstream peptide RNA)